rnacentral:lncRNA from 1 species
AUUAAACUUGGUGCUUGUACAAAUCUUUAUUCAAGACAUCAGUUCAUCAAAGGAUACUUGGAAGAUGAAGGUGAGGAUCACGAGUCUUUGACGUGUUGAAAGAUCUGCAACUCUUACACUAAAGAUGAUUUUCAUUUAUCGCAAGGUCUUUAAUUUUUACUUUGAUUUUUUAAUUCCAUUUUUAUUUAUAAUUUGUACGAUAGCAUGUUUAUGUAACAGGGUGAUAAAAUUGAAGCUAUUGUAACAAAUGUUGAUAUAUCACAGUGAGAGUCUCAACUCAAAGAGGGGUUCUGUUAUAUUGCUGAAAACUUUAAUGUCAUUCUCAAUGAGGGAGCAUAUCAAUGUUGUAACCAUCAUUACUAACUAUUCUUUCAAAAAGGAAUUGUAUUGAAAAACAAUGAGCUUUAUGAUAUUCCAACA